rnacentral:rRNA from 1 species
CCUACGGGUGGCAGCAGUAGGGAAUAUUGCUCAAUGGGGGAAACCCUGAAGCAGCAACGCCGCGUGGAGGAUGAAGGUUUUCGGAUUGUAAACUCCUUUUGUUAGAGAAGAUAAUGACGGUAUCUAACGAAUAAGCACCGGCUAACUCCGUGCCAGCAGCCGCGGUAAUACGUAGGGUGUAAGCGUUACUCGGAAUCACUGGGCGUAAAGAGCGCGUAGGCGGGAUAGCAAGUCAGAUGUGAAAUCCUAUGGCUUAACCAUAGAACUGCAUUUGAAACUGUUAUUCUAGAGUAUGGGAGAGGUAGGUGGAAUUCUUGGUGUAGGGGUAAAAUGCGUAGAGAUGAAGAGGAAUACUCAUUGCGAAGGCGACCUGCUAGAACAUAACUGACGCUGAUGCGCGAAAGCGUGGGGAGCAAACAGGAUUAGAUACCCGAGUAGUC